rnacentral:rRNA from 1 species
GAGUCUCCCAUGCUACCCUGAACAAGCCCGAUCCCGUCUGAUCUCGGAAGCUAAGCAGGGUCGGGCCUGGUUAGUACUUGGAUGGGAGACCACCUAGGAAGACCAGGUGCUGUACGCA